CGACUACUCGAGACUCACGUGUAUCCUUUUUGAUAGCGCUAUGUCUCCACAAUAUAUACCACCAAGGAUUUCGAAUACAGUCAUUUGCUUUUCUCUCCGUCUUCUUGAAUGUUCGUAACUACUUCAGUUUGUACGCGUGCCACCCUUGCGGUUCGAGUGCGCCGGAAGGGAUGUUGGGUGUCGAACUGUUGACCCGGUGAACACAGAGACCAUGUAUCGUCCAGGAUAGAUGGACCUGUGCGUGUGCGUGCGUGCGCGCUGAUGCUGGGAUCUCUCGUAGAUUCGUAGACCAGCGAACGUCUUUCGAUGCGACCGAGGUGUGUCUGGAGGAUGAUGAUGAGGCUGCAAGCGCUCGCACCGAAGCGAGGAACUG